AGGCUGGAACUGUGGCAGGCCCGUGUUCCUGGGCUGCGGGAUGAGAAUCUCAUCCUGGAAUGAACCCAUGACCAGGUCCAAGCUGGCUGUAACUAUGAUCAAGUCUGGUUCUGGGCAUUGUUUGGUUUGUUUGUUUUCUUUUUUUUUUUUUUUUUUUUUGGUUCUUUUUUUCGGAGCUGGGGACCGAACCCAGGGCCUUGCGCUUUCUAGGCAAGCGCUCUACCACUGAGCUAAAUCCCCAAUCCCAGUUUGUUUGUUUUCUAAUGAAGCUCUGAGCACUGGCCGCUAGGCCACAGUCAGUACUUGGUCUUCCAAACCCUGACAGGGGUAUUUGAUAAACCUUAAAAGAAGAGUGUUACAUUGAACCUGCAAAAACUGCAUCAAGAAAGCCAAUGCCAAUGGAAGCACAGCGAGGGGCGUGAUCCACAGUGGUCAUCAUGACGUCACAACGCAGAGAAAUGCAGAGUGAAGAGAGGUGUCAAGGGAAACACCAAUUACAUGUGAGCUUCACUCCAGACCAUAAUAUCUUAUGUAUGUCAUGCAAACACACUUUCGGUGUCCUUUAUAUAUGCAUACGGGGACAUUUCCUAUAAUUAGCAAUUCUCAUGAAAUGGGAGUUGAUGUAGAUACCGUUCAACCAUUUCCAGAGAUUUCUGUGUUACCCCACUGCCUCGCACUAGACCACAGCACAACCUCUCCCUCCCUUCCUAGCUGUAUUUUGUUUUGCUUUUUUGAAACAAGGUCUUGCUAUGUAGCCCAGGCUGGCCUUGAAUUCACAACCUUCCUGCCUCAGCCUCCUGAGUCAAGUGUGAGUCACCUCAAAACCAGUUUCUUUGAUAAAUCAAAAGGCACUUCAGGAUCUUGCCAAGUCUUGAGGUCAUCGUUAUAAGUAACAACUGUUACUGUGAACCGUGAAACAACUCUCUCUAACCUUUUGGAAUGAUUCAUAGUGAGGAGCUGUUCCCUACACAUGGCUAAUCCUGCUCCGUGGCCUUCCUUUCUGGGCUUACACAGGUGGGGACUGGCUUCAGGCCCUAGAUAAGGGAAAGCCAGGCUGUGUCCCAGUGAGGGAGGAGGCUUUAAGGUCAUUGUAGUCACUGGUGACUGGUUCUGAAAUUGAGGAACUAAUUUGAGGAACUUCAGAAUAACAAGAAACCCAAACAACUUGGCUUUCUGCAGAAGACUUCCAAGGUAGGGGGAUGGGAGUGGUGGGGGAAGGAGAUGCAGCAUGGUCCAUUCUCUGGAGCCAUGGCCAUGACCUACUUUUAGAAGCUGUGCCCUACAUAUUCUCUGACAAACUCUCCCAAGUGAUCAGCUGAAGACACAGUGGCAGGGGUGCAUCUGAUAUGUCUGUUUACACUAAAGGCAAUAAUUUUGCUCUCUCCUGAGGUGAAAAAUAUGAAAGGUAUGUUCUGGAGAGAACCUCAGACUGAUUCCUUCGUGAAGGGAGGGAAACAGGAAAAAGCCUAUGGCCCCGCUUACUGUCUUACCAACAGGCAAGAGUCUAGACUUGCACCUUGAACUUUCAUUGGAUGACAAACACCUACUCUACCCAGUGGGUACCAUUUCCCAAGUGCUGGACUAGUCGAUGGUAACCAAACCAAACAAGAGCUUUUCCUGUUCCCAACCCUGAAAGGCCACCCUGGAAUACUGCCCCUAGUUGUCAAAGGGCUGUCAUGGGUCAGGACUUGAACCAUCUGCACACGCUUCAGGUCUGCAUGGCACCAAGCACUGUGCACUUCCGACCUGACUGUGUUAGAGCGCCUGUGUGCUGAUGAUGCUGAAGACUCCAGAGUGCUAGCAAGCGCUUAUUCCAAACCGACAAGCAGAACAAGGCUCUUAGAGGAAAGAGAUGCUCAAGUCAUCCCAACUUAGACAUGGCAGGCUAGGAGUGAGGGUGGGGGCUCCUCCUGUGGAAAAAGCUCUCUCUGUGACAGCAUUACCUCAAGCCAGAGCAUGUCUCCUUAUGCACCCGCUUUCCCUCCAGGGUGAGUUCUUUAACAGAAGUGCCCAUGUUUCAUUUGAUUUGAUUUUUUAGUGCAUGCUCAAUGGUAUAAGAGCCAAUGAAAGCAUCACCAGACGAAAACACAGUAAAAUGCAUAGGCUAUGUCUAAUGUCAUGGCUUACUGAACAUUAUAGAUGAACAACAUAGCACUCUGUAGUACCAGCUAUAUUCCCUCAUGAUAGUGAGGCUUCAUGAAAGAGAGCUAUGGCCCUUAGCCACUGCCCAGAUGAACCCCAUGGUCUCCUACCUCGGGAAGAGCUCAGAUAAAAAUCUGAAGAAUUUUCUAGUAGACUGUCUAUUGCUUCAGCACCGUAAGGUCAGGAACCAUAAGUUGGACCAUCACCAGUGGGGCGUGUAUGUGUUCUACCUACCAGAGCUUGGCAGUUCACACGCUUUACCAGCAUUCCUUGAGUGAACGAAUGACUGAAUGGCCAAGUGUGGUAGUACAUGCCCGUCAUCCCAGCAUUCAAGAGGCAGAGUCAGGGGGAUCACUGUAAGUUCGAGGGCAGCCUGAAUCACACGGUCAUCACAGUUAUAGGUUAGCCGGAGCUGCACAGCGAGGCCUCGUCUAAACAAAUAAAACCAAAGAGGGCCAGCAAGAUGGUCCAGCAGGCACAGGCACUUGCCUGGGUCUGAGACUAGAAUCCAGGUAAAGGGGAAAAGACACAAAGGUGUCCUCCAACCUCCAAGUGUGAAGGUGGCACACAUCCUCCCACCCCUAACACAAACACACACACACACACACACACACACACACACACACACAAAUAAAAUGACUAUAGACCAUAGACCGUGGGAGCUUGUCAGGAUUGGUAUCUGUGUGCUCAUACUGCCUGGUCACUUGGCAAGCUCACGGGGAUGGCACCCAUGGCUGCAGAAGGGGACCACACCAGUGACUAUCUUCCUGCCUGCAUCCAGUAAGAAAGUCUGGAAACUGAUGCUGAAACCAUCAUCAGCAUCAUUCCUAAAUACUGACCUGGUGACCCCCUUAUUUCUACCUGAGCGAGAAGAUGAGCCUCUGCCUCUCUGAUCCACACAAUAUUCACCAGGACUGUCUGAUGGAAAAGGUGGACAUAUAGGCUCUUUUACAUUUCUGUCUAUAAGGCCACCCUGGGUUCAAGGAGCUGUUCACCCCCUUAACUCCCCUAGGCAGUACACUCUGGGUCUUAUCUUAACUGGCAAUCACAUCCUCAUUUGUGGCCGGCUGAACACUUUUCUUCCUCACCUCCCAGCCUCUCCUCAUACAGUAAUUCUGGUCAGUAAAGAAAAAAGCCAGGGUCACCAGAAGGAUCAGCUGUACCCACUCUUUGCAUGUACAGGGACCACUAUCCAGAUAUGACAUCAUGCUUUGCCCUCAAAGGCCUCUCCUGGAGAGGAGCCAAGACAGUCUGGCUGGGAUCACACUGGCUAUUCGGGCUCUGCUGGACACCUGUAAGCCAUGGGCAACACGCCAUGUCUUCAGAGAGGAAAGAUGCAAAUGCUUCUGGCUGCCCAGUGGAUUUGGAACCUCAAAAAUCAAUUAUUGACAAUCACUCAAGGCCCACACUAGGUGAGAUACUGCUUGGGAGCAGAAGAAAGUGCCUUUAAGGUGGAGACAACCUUUGAGACUUCCGGGUAGCCCUACCUAGACUGUAUUUUCUUAUCAACCUUGGCCUUCUUUCAACCACAUCAACCUUAUGGUAGAGAAGAGAGUCAAAUAAACAGCUUUCUGUUGACAUUUUCUUAGACACAGGGCAGAAGCCACACAGGUUCCACCCUUCCCAGGCCCUGUAGAGUUUGCAGGGAGCCUGAGAGUGAUGGGUUUAGUGUGGGGAAACAGACAGGGGAGCUGUUUGAUAGGGUAAAAGUCCUCUGCUGGGGGCAGCUCCUGGGUCUGGUGUCAACGUGAUGCAGUACAGAGCUCAGGCUUGGUUAGCCCAUUGCUGGAGGGUCUUAUUCAAUCUUUUGCAGAGAAAGGUACAGAUACUAAUUAACGAAUGCUUGCCUCCCAUCCGUCACCACACCCCCAAGUGCAUCCUCGAGUGUGUGUGUGUGUGUGUGUGUGUGUGUGUGUGUGUGUGUACACGUACACCAGACAGUGACUGUCAGGUGUUUUCCUCAGUGGCUUUCCUGUCUGUCUGUCUAUCCACUCACUUACUCAUUAAAACUGGAGCUCCCUGAAGGCUGAUUGGCUGGCUAGCAAACUCCCAGGAGCCCCCAGGAUCCUUACUCUCUGGCUCUAGCACUGGGGUCACAGGAACACAAUGCUGCACCUAGCGUUUGAUGUGGGUUCUGAACUCAGGUCUUCGGCUUGCAGAACAGGCACUGUGGCCACUGUACCAUCUCCCCAGGGCCCCUCCCUCCCUUUCUUUUCUGUUUCUUUAAGACAGGGUCUCGGGGUUGGGGAUUUAGCUCAAGGCCCUGGGUUUGGUCCCCAGCUGGGGGGGGCGGGGAGACAGGGUCUCACUAGGUAGCCCUGGCUGUCCUGAAACUCUAUGUAUACCAGGCUGGCCUUGAACUCACAGAGAUCCACCUGCCUCCUUGUGCUACCAUGCCUGCCUAUUAUAUAUAUAUAUAUAUUUUUUUUCUUUUUUUUCGGAGCUGGGGACCGAACCCAGGGCCUUGCGCUUGCUAGGCAAGCACUCUACCACUGAGCUAAAUCCCCAACCCUCCUAUUUUAUAUUUCUAACAACUUGUUCUUGAUAGAAUAGUUAAGGCCUAAGGCAUUUAUUUAUUUAUUUAUUUAUUUAUUUUUAGCUAUGCUAGUCCAAAGCAAGUUGAAGGGAUGGCUAGUUACCUCAGCUUACUGGGAUGCGGGUACUGGGGAGGACUCUGUGUUAGGGAAUCAGAACACUUGCAAGGGAUUAUCAGUUCUACUGAGCCGAUGAACAGUCAGGUGCACCUUGUGGAUGGCCCUGGACACGCAGACCAGCAUGAAGUACACCAGUCAAGGACACAUUGUGAAAGGCCCUCUGUCUGUGGACACUGCUUAUGGACAGUUCUCAGGAAUGAGAAUCAGCAGAAGCUUUGACCACUGGAAUAUGGGAGGGAAGGACGGCUCAGGCCUUCCCUCUGAUGCUUCUUUCUGGGUUCAGAUGCUGACCCUGGUGAGUGGAGACAACUGAGUAAUGAGUUUGCAGUCCCUCAAGCUCCCUGAAACCCAGGGAGCAAUAGGCUUUCCUUCCCAACCCCUGGAGCUCUUGUGAGCCUUCAAUUCAGGUGGCGAGAAGGAAGGCAAGGGUGAAAAGGGUUCUCCCCAAAUCUCUCAUCUCCAAGCACAGUUUUUAUCUCUAACUCUGCCAAGGGAUUUCCCAGUUCCCCAGGGCCAAAGCCUCACUCCUGUCACUCUGCUGAUUGUCACUGGAAGUGAGCCAUUUUCCACCCUCAAGGUGGCUGGACUCAGGACUGGUGACACUGCUGACCUGGGCUCCGUGCCCUGCCCACAUGACCCACCAGAGGAUGGGUCUGUCAGUCAGCAAGCUCCAGGAGCCUCCCAUGAGCUUCCUGCUCCCUAAUCCUAGCCCUUGGGCUGGAAUGAGGGUGAUCUUUAGCAGAAGGCUUUUCAACAUGGUCUGCUCAGGACUUCCUCUGCAACUGGGCUGGGGAACAAAUGGCCUGUUACCUACACCCCUGCACGAGUGACUCACCUUCCAGAGAAAGUACUCCCCUCACCUAAACAAAGCUGCUUGAAAAAUGACUAAGGCACCUAUCAAAUACAGGCAGCCUGUGGGCCAGCCAGUGACUGAGCAGGGUCCAGACACCCUGCUCUGCCUUCACCUCCAGCCUGGAAGGCGAGUGCCACCCUGGGCCUGCUGCUUUCAUUUUCAUCUGAGCAAGCUCCUCACGAGGCUUGACAUCCGGUGAUUUAUUUUUUCUAAAAACUAGGUUCGCUUCAGAAAUGACUCUUCGCCUAUCAAGACAGCUUCCCCAAGAGAAAACAAACGCUGUUUAGAAAGAAUGUCAGCGUGAUGGGAGCCAGUAUUUUUGCUUUGUAUUAAGAGGGAGAAAGGAAUUUAAUACUCUCCCCAACCCCCACCCCCGAUCCAUGAUAACUGAAGCAGAAUCUGCAAGGGCCUGACUGUAGAGCCAGGGCUCUCAGACCUGGUCAGAGAGAUAAGACAGUUUUAAUGGAAAAAUGGAGAAGUGGGGUGCCAUGGGCUGAUGGAAAGCUAUACUCCCCCCAAAGAACCAAAUGUUGUCUCCUUGUCCCCCAGUGGCUUAUAUCCUAUAAACAAACUUUUCUCGAACCAGGUCAAUGCUGGGACCCACUUAACCACAUGGAGGACAUGAGGGACCUCCCAGGCAGGUGCAGGUCUGUUUGGAUCAGAGUCCCGGGAGGCCCUGCACAGGUAACCUCUUAUUUAGGACUGCAAACUCCUAGGUCUUUCUAGGCUUAUCUGAAGUAUUGGGAGGGCAGGAUGUAGAACAAGCCUGAGGGAACCAGGGGCUAAGGAGAUGGCUCACUGAGUAAAUAUGUUCACAGCCCAGCCCAAAGACCUGAGUUUGCUCUCUAGAACCCACACAGUGGAAAGAAAGAAGUGACUCUUGCAAACUGUCCUCCGACCUUCACAUGGGUGCUAUGAUACACACAUGUGCACACACAAUGAAUACAUAUAAUACCUUUAAAAAAAAAAAAAGGCUGGGAAAACAUUACAGCCAAAUGCCCCAGGCAAGGAAGCAGACCUUGGAGGGCCUGCUUAAGAAAUGACUGACCUGUCAGGCACUUCGACUUUUCUUGACAUUAUCUUACCAAAGACAGAUCUAGUCACAAUGUAGUAACCGCCUGCUGCUGCCCUAACAACCACGACAAUGAUGGCGGUCACUGUGCUCAGCUCAGCACACGGAUCCUCUCCUUUCUUCUACUUGAAAGGGCCCCAGGAAAUGUUUCUGACUCCACUGGAAGAAGAGGCACUCUGGGCUCCCUGAAGCAAUUUGCUUGAGAGCACACAGACAGUCCCAGGCAGACAGGCCCUGACCCAGGUCUGUCUGACAACAUAAACCACCACAGUGGAUGUGGUGGCCCUGUGGACAGGCUCUCUCACUGGACAGAGCACUUGAUCCUUCUCUCUUAGUUUCCACACCUGGAAAAAGAUCAUAGCCACACUUGUUCAGAGAGUAGGCUUUUACUAAGGACUAGAACCAGCAAUCGCUACAUAGAGAUAUCGAUGAAGAAUCGUUUUGAUAAGGGGAUACUCAAAACUGCUUCUCAGGACUAACUGGAUUCAAAAUGGAUUUUUGGGGGGGAAUGUAGGCUUGUGAUUCUUGAGCAAGUGAGUAUUAUAAACCAAGGAUAUAUAUGUAAAGAAAAGUCACUUUAGAUUCUGGGCAUAACUCCAAAUUCCUAAGAUUUACUGUCUGUCUUAUUUAAUCCUCAUUUUAAAGAGCUUAGCCUCUCUUUACUGUAAGAAAACAGAAAGGUUAUCUACAAAAACCAUUACCCGGUGUACACAAUUCCAAAGGAUUUCUACCAGGGAGCUCAAGAUGAAAGAAUGAAACAGCAGGAAGGGAAGGAGGGGGGGUCUCAAUUUAAGCACGAAUACAAGAACACACAGGCUUCUGAGGAAAGCUCCCUUUGCCCUGUCCCUCGGGCUGUGAGAGAAGCUCGGAACUCAGGCCCUACCUCAGCACCCUGCUCAGAGCUGCUGAAACGCGCUCCUAGACUGCCUGCCUUCCACCUGCCUUCCUGUUCUGCCCCACAGCCAUCAACCUUGCAGUCGGCCUUACCAAGUGAACAGAGUGUUCGCACUCGAACAGCUCACCCUACCCGUGAAGACACUCAACCCAUUCCUUUCCCUUAUUCGGGAUCCUGCUGUGCAGGGAGGGCUGACUUAUCCACUCUCUGAACCACCCCUCUUCCCACCCGCUUCAUGCUGGUGCCAUCAGAAGUGCCCAGGGUGCUCAGAAGCCUCCGGUUUAACUGAAAGACUAAAAUGGGGCAAACAGGAAGCAUCAGACACAACUGCGGUAGUGACUUAUUAAUCACGAAAGCAGAAUUUUAGUUGCAUUUUAACCUUUUGCCAGGAAAAAAAAAAGCAUCUAGUUGAUGGGUGCUAUCGGUGGAACCGUCAGCCCGCGUGUGCUGCGAGCUGACCUUUUACUGGGUCUGAAUUUGGUUUUCAGUUUUCUUUUUUCUCCUAAGGGGGGAAAAAUCUGUCAAGCCAAUCAGGAUUAGCCUGUGAGGUCUUCCCAGGGGAGUAGCACCUGUAAGAAGCCCAUGUGCUGUCCAUUGAGACAAGGGGAAAAAAAGAAACAAAAAAACAAAGUGACAAAGUGACUUCACAGGCAAGUGAUACUACAAAACUCUUAAAGAGAGGGGAAAAUGGCUCUAAAGGAACGAGCCUAGAUUUAAGCUUUUAUCUAUUUCACAUCCGUCCAGUCUCCUACCAGACCCUAGCUAAGGAGGAACCCUUUAACUCACCAAAAAUCUCACAACGGUUGUCUAGGUCUGGACAACCAAUCAGGGUGAGCCCUGUCCUCUCAACCCCAAGCAGAUCACAAAGGAAUCAGUGUUCAUCGGGAGAAUCAAAAUGAGGAACCACACUUUAUCUGCCAAGGGUGAAUGGCAAACCAGGCAUUUUUGUUUGAUAGGCGAAGGUUCAUUGGCAGGGUCUCUGUCUGUGGUGCCACUCCCACAAACUCUAACAGACACCAGAGACAAAACAACAACAACGACAACGACAACAAUGACAAACCCAAAAAACAAAAUCCCUUCAGAACUGCUCUAUCCACCCAGAAACAAUCAGAAAAUGACCUGAAGCCUGAUCGCACAGUACUGUUUGACUUCACAAACUGCUGGUAUGUAUUUCUGGGUAUGUAAGCUGGGUACUUACUUCUAAAAUUAAAGUCAGACAUAUUAACUAUUUUUACGAGCUGUUCUGAGAAAUUUAUCACACUCUUCCAAAUAAAUCAGGAUGUCCUCUUCCUUCUCUUUCUUUCUUUCUCUCUUUCUUUCUUUCUUUCCUUCUUUCUUUCUUUCUGGUGUUCUGAGACAGGACCUUGCUCUGAAGCCCUGAUAGGCUUCUAAGUCACAGCAAAUCCUCCUUGUCCUAGCCUCCCAGUGAUGGAUACAGGUGUGUGUCACCAUGCCUAGUUUUCAAGAUGUCUUAAAGGCGUUUGAAAAACUCAGAAAGCUGGCAUCCACCCAAAGGAAUUGCCUUUGACAUCACUUUAAAUACAAGAGGAAAUCCACACGCACUUCAUAAGCAAGUCAAGAGUCUUCAAAGCAUCCUCUUACAUUAACAGCAAGAAGAUCAGCCCAAACCUUCCCCCCCUCUUUUCUCUAGCAUAGUUACAUUAUACUGUUCUGAUUCAGGGAUCUGAAGAACUCCCUCUCACUCCUGGCUCUGAGGCCACAGACAAGGUAUGUCAUCCCCUCACCUGAUUCAGGUAUUUCACUUACCAACGGGACAACAGUCUAUGCAUCUCACCACACCUACCACUAAGUGGGAAACUCAUUAAGCAAAAACAGGUAAAACUAAAGUCAGGAUACAGUCCUCUAAUCUUUCUGAAAGACUGUGUUUCUAGAUCUGUGCCAGUGUUCCAAAGUCCACUGGUCAUGGUGCCACCCCUCAUUCAUUUCAUUUUUUUUUUUUAGCGUCCCUAAUCCAGCCAUGAUUGUUCAUUGUCUCCAAUUAACAACAACAACAACGACAAAUUGUCACUAAGACACUACUGAUACUUGAAACUUUUCUCCACUCAUCCUCUUGACAACCCGUGCCCACCCCUAUCCAUCCUUUAGGGCUGACAGCCAUCUUUUAAUCUCAAAAGAUGGGGUGGGGGGGACCUUUUCUGAAGUUAACACGAUGAGGCUCCAAAGCAGGUGGGAAUCUCUGCCUCGAACAAAUGUUUCUUUUUACUUAGUGACAGGUGGCUGAAAGUUGCCAGAGCCGCGAUGAGCUUCCAAGAUAGGACUAGUACAUAUAAACAGACCCCAAAAGUCCCGAAUAGAACACAGAAUUACACAGAAUGGUAAGGACCAUCGAGGAGAGAGGAUAUCAUCAGCGACUAGCACUGCACUGCUGAGUGCCCAGAGCAGUGUUCCUCUCAGAACAAGUGAUCCCAAGCAGUUCACUGGGAAAGGCUGCGCAUAUCAUUUCCUAGGACAGUGGAGCGAUCACCUUCUCUUGGGGGGCACCCAGGAGCCGGGUCUGGCAGUAGGGCGGCUGAACUUGAUGGCACGGACGUUGGGGAAAGGGAAACAGACAGUACCCGCGCGCGUUCCGGGCAAGCGUGUGACCCAUGGGUGCGCGGCCUGGAGGUUCCAGGCGAGCAAGGCGUUUCGAGCGUGGCGUUGAUGGCGCUGAGCGUGCGAGCGUGUUAGACCGCAGACACCCGGCCACCCAUCCCAGCCAUCCCUCGUGGACAGCCAGGUUGCAACCCGGCCCCGGCCUGGGAGGCGCCCCUUCCCUGCCCGCUCCCUCAGCGCCCCGCUUUAGGUCUCGGGGUUCUGCCCAGUCACCUACCGGCGGAGCGCCGUUCUCCUCAAACAAGCGAGUGUGGCGCUUCGCUGGCCAGCGAUCGCUCGGGGCCUCAGCUGCCCCUCCCCGACCACGCCCCCACAUCUAGCUCCGCCCCGGGUCACGCCUCCCCCCGUGGCUGCGACUUUGCUAGCUUCCCGCCUCCUUUCUUUGGCCCCAACGCGACCCUUGAUCCCACCCAUUCCUACAGGUUAGCCAAUAAGACAUCUUGUUUCGGCCGGCUUGCCGUCCACUGCUCAGCAGCGAUUGGCUAGCGAGGCCUCCCCCAAAUGGGCACUGUUUCCGGCCAGGGCAUCUAGAGCCGACGGCUGGGUGGAUGGGCGGGCGGUAGGCGAAGGAGGCCAGGGUGUUGGUUGAAUCACGCAUGCGCUCUCCACUUGGGGCAAAUCUUUUACGGGUUGCAUUCUUUUUGAGGUUACGGGAAGGAAGGGCGACUCUACGCAUGCGUGGGCAUUCCCAGCUUCGGCUUUGGUUACCUUGGAGACGGCGGGGCGCUCUGUCUCCAAAGUCUUGGGUUUCUCUCCAUUCUGCUUGAGGGCGUGGUUGCUUGGUGGAGGACUGGUAAGGUCUCUGUGGUCUAUAACUCCUUAUUUAUCCCAGGCUAGCCUCACACUUCUUCCUGCCGUCACGUCUCCAGCCUAGGGAUAACAGCCACGCCCUAUUCCCAGCUCAGCCUCUGUGCUUGUUUGUUUACAUCACUCGUUUUUAAAAAUUAAUUCGUAAAGUCGUCAUGCGAAGGAGUGGGUUACAUCAUAGCCUCUUCACACCCAUGUGUCAUUACCCUUUGCUCUCGUUCCUCCGCUUCUGGCUUGGCAAGAGAUUAAGGACAGACUCUGCCGGAAACGAUGGUGGGGUGGUGGCGUAUGCCUGUGAUCCCAGCACUCCAGAAGUGGGAAGCAGGAAGACCAGGAGUUCAAUUCCAUCUUCAACUACACAGUGAGUCUGAGGCCAGCCUGGGCUACAUAAGACCCUGUCUUCAAUCACCCAACAAACGAAAGAACGUGAGCUAGACACUGAGUAUGUCCGUGAGGAGCCUCACUUGAAUUACCUCAGGAUGACAUUUUGUAUUGGACAGUCCACUAAAAGCCCUGCUGUUGUAGGGUGUUUAAGAGCAUUCCUGACUGUCUCCAAGGUUUCCAUACCCUGAGUGAAAACAAAAAACCCUGGAUACUGCUAAGCAUCCCCAGGAGCAGCCGUCCCUACUCGAGAACCCCUGCAACGUCACUACUGUCUUCACCUCGAGGAAGAGCAAACUGAAGCCUGGAAAAGAGGUGACAUGCCCAGGGUCACUAUGCUGUACCAGAAGAUCCACGAUUCAAAUGACACAGCACUUCACACGCCCUGUAGGCAGGAUUCCAUAGAGAUUUUGGGGUUCAAAAAAGCCAAGGACCCCCAUCAGUUGUGUGGAGUUGGGUGCAGUGGUGAGACAAGGCUGUUUUAGGGGCCAUUUGUCCUUUCCUGUUUGCCUUGGAGAAGGGGCAUUGUCUUCAGGCCUUAGCACCUUUACCGAAUGUCUAGUAUGAAGGUGUUGGCUGAAGCACGUGAGUGAGUGCCGGUGCAUCCCGGGCCCACAUUCCUGUGAAAUCUUGAGUUCAGGUGAGGGCUGGUGUGAGGACGACAUGAGAGAGGAUGUAGGCCUAGGGGCAGCCAUUCCUGGAGAAAAAGGUAUGCUUCCUCCCACUAGGGGCCUGUCAGAGCUGCAGCCCUGGUGUUAGUGCCGGUCCCCAGUUUGGACCUACCCCAGAUUUCUAGGUAGGGGAUGGAGAAGCAGUAGAAGAAACAGAUAGAUUCGGGGAUGACUGUGACCUCACAUUGGCAGCUUGAAUGGGAAUCAAGUGAAUAGAAUAAACAUGUGAGUACCGCUCCCCCCACCCCCCAUCCAAACUAGUUCCCAACAUUUUCCAAUUGGCCCAUCUUACCACACAUCCGGUUGAUAGAAGGGACCAUAUAACUGGGAGGAGGAGAGAGAAGUGUCAGGAUGAGAGGAAGAAGAGGUUCCAGCCUUGGCAAAGGGUGGAGCCAUCUAAAUGAGGCAUUGACAAAGGUGACUUUACCAAGAUCAGGCCUGGACAUACCUUUCUGAGUCGCCCCACCUCCCUGACUUUGGCGCCAUUGGAGGGAACCCUGGCUUAGCACCUGUACUUCUCAGUUCUCCAUUUUCACCUUUUUUAAAAAAAAGAUCUAUUUAUUUAUUAUAUAUAAGUACAUUGUAGCUGUCUCCAGACACACCAGAAGAGGGCAUCAGAUCUCAUUACAGAUAGUUGUGAGCCACCAUGUGGUUGCUAAGAUUUGAACUCAGGACCUCUGGAAGAGCAGCCAGUGCUCUUAACCACUGAGCCAUCUCUCCAGCCCUAUGCUGUCUCAAAAAAAAAAAAAAAUACUACCCCUGAUCCUUCUGGUGGCAUUAAUCCUCAUGGGAGGCCACUUAACACCAUAUUGUUCCACAGCCAGGGCCCUUGCUCCUGUAGCAUCUUCCUUUCAACCCAUGAAUGCAACUCAGACUCCCAGCCUAAACAUGUCUAACCAGCUAAACACCACCUUCCCCAUCAUCCUGGCUCUCCCGCUCUCCAAUACACUGUUUCCCAGUGUCUUCUGUUUGCAUAAACUCCUUGCAGGAUGGUUCUGCCUACCUCCCCUCUCUGUGAACACCUGCUAAUUUGGCUUCCGUUAAAUGCCCCAGUCUCAGUUCCUAUCUCCCUGUACUGCUCAGUGUGAUGUGCUGAGCCCACGAGGGUCCGGCUGGGAUCCAACCAGUCUCUGCCCUCAGGGAGCUUUUGCUCUAGUGAGUGGCAGAAUCUAAGUCACUUCAGAUGAGGACUUGAGUCAUCUGGGCCUUGGUUGGGUGAUGACGGAGGAUGAACUAUACUGCAUCAGGCAGGAAGCAGCCAUGCAAGCAGAAUCAUUCUACGCUCGAACAACAUUUCAUGGAGGAAUAAGUUACACCGGAGACGGAAGAAUGGCGAAGGCCGACAGAAGGCAAUUGUGACCUGGAGUCCACUUCUGCCCCCUGGUGGGAAGGCCAGACAGGGCAGGGUCAGUCAGAGCCUGGGAGCCAGGGUCACUGGGGAACCACACAGAGGACUCACCCAUUUCCACAGCCCCCCAUUGAAGAUGAACAGGGAUUGAGGGAAAACAUGGACUCUCCUUGUUGUCUGUCUUCUAGUUUCCUGGCAGACUCUGGCUGGCCUAUGAGCUGGCAGGGCUCAGUUAACUGCAGAGAAAGUGAGGGUUAGACAGCAGGGCACACAGCCCAGGAGUGGGGGAAGAUAGGGACUAGCUUCUCUGAGGGAGCUCAGGAAGGAAGGACUUGAAAGGGGGGUUAGAGGGGACAAACUCCUGACAACCAGCAACAUCUGGAGCCAGUCCUUUUCUGUUUUCUGUCUCCUCCUCCUCCUCCUCUUUUUUUUUUUUUUUUUUUUUGAGACAAUAUUCCACUAUGCAGACCAGGCUGGCCUUGAACUCACAGAAAUCCACCUGUCUCUACCUCUCGGUUGCCAAUGAAUCAUUCAGCACCAAUUUGAGCGCUUUGCACGCAGCUGGUCCUUGACCUAGUCCUUGGUGACGGUGAUGAAUGAGGCAAGGGGUCUGUCAUUCAUGGGGUUGGGGGAAUCAGCAAUACAAUAGAAAGGACAGAGGAGCUACUGGGUGAAGGAAGGUCACAGAGGAAAGAUCAGAGAAGGUUUCGUGGAAGGGGUACCUCUCAGACGGACUGCUGCCAUGCCAGGUGCGCCAGGAGGCCAGGCAAAUGAGUAACGGGGAGCAGAAGUCACAUGCCAAGGCGUGGCGAUGGCGAUGAAGCACAGCCAGCCAUUUGGGAACUGGACACGUCAGACAUAAGGGACAGGGAAAGAAAUGUAACUCACACUGAAGCCUGUGACCUGAACUGUGGAAGGCAAUGCAGACCACCAUAGCAGAUAGGGCCCCGGGAAAAGACAGAUUAAAAUACUAGAUGGACUUUUCACUCAACGUCCCUUUUCAAAACAUGUAGCAGCACGGCAGUUUCGGAGCAGAAGACCAGCUACAGAGCUUGGCAGUAAGAUGUGACAGGGCUGGACCAGGGCAGUGGCAGGAAGUGGUGACCUAGGACAGAGUCGUCACAGGGAGAGCUGCAGUAGCAAGAAGCCAUGGUGGAUGGAAUCUGGCCAGGGGUAGAAGGCGCAUCUAGGAUGCUGGGGCCACGAGCUGAGGAGAGAGGUUCUGUUGGCAUUUCAGUCGCUCUGCCCCUUCCUCUGUCUUCUCAGAGUUGCCUACUUCUAAACUGACACCUCCACUUGUAACUUUCAACCUGAGCUCUGAAGUAGAAUUUCCACUGGCCCGGAGAAUGUGUCUACCUUCUAGCCACCUGACAUUGUCAUUUCUACACUUCUCUGUGUCAAUGAUGUCACUGCCAGUCCUCCAAGAUGGAAUCUCCAUCACCUCUUUGUGCCAAGUCACACCUUCUUCUUCAAGUGGUUCCUGUUGUGUUUGGAACCUCCCUUUGUCUGUUCUAUCCUUUUCUCCUACUUUCUUUUCAGUGUCAGUCCUUUCCUCUGUCUGUCUGUCUACACAUCCAUCCAUCCAAUCAUCCAUCCAUCCACCCACCCACCCACUCACUCAUCCAUCCAUCUAUCAUCUAUCUAUCUAUCUAUCUAUCUAUCUAUCUAUCUAUCUAUCUAUUGCUAUCCUUCCCUCCCACUCUCCCUCCUUUCCUCUCUUUGAGACAGGGUUCACUAUGUAGCUUUGGCUGCUCUCACUAGUGUAGAACCAGCCGGCCUCAGACUCACAGAGCUCUGUCUCUUGAGUGAUGGGAUUAAAGGGCCCUGCUACUAUGCCCAUCCAUUUAAGUACUGAUCCUUUUUACAAGGUUACUCUCUCACUCAAAAAUGUUAAUGGAUUCCCACUGCUUGUGUCUUAGGGUUCUAUUGCUGUGAACAGACACCAUGACCAAAGCAAGUCUUAUAAAGGACAAUAUUUAAUUGGGGCUGGCUCACAGGUUCAGAGGUUCAGUCCAUUGUCAUCAAGGCGGGAGCACGGCAGCAUCCAGGCAGGCAUGGCGCAGGAGGAGCUGAGAGUUCUACAUCUUCAUCUGAAGGCUGCUAGCAGAAUACUGACUUCCAGGCAGCUAGGAUGAGGGCCUUAAAGCCCACACCCACAGUGACACACCUCCUCCAACAAGACUACACCUUCUAAUAGUGCCAUUCCCUGGGCCAAGCAUAUACAAACCAUCACAGCCUGCUGAUUAAGUCCCAGCUUAAUAGAGUGUUAGAUGAAAGUGUGAUUUGCUUAUGGGGUUCCCAUUCUCCCUUCAUAUAUGAUCAGAACUCUUAUUUAAUUAUAGGGCUGACCUAUUCAGGUUUAAUGCUUCCUUGCAGCCCGGAUGACUGUGUUACCCAAUCCUGUCCAGGGAGAUAGGUGGAUCUAGCUGGUCCUUUGCCCUUCUCCCUUUUUUCUUUCUAGAGCAUAGACUCAGAGUCUGGCAGCAUGGAAGCCUAGAAAUAGAAGUCAGCUUAAGGGUAAAAGUCCUCAUUUGAGGGUUGGAGGAGGCCUGGAUUCAAUCCCAGCACAGCACAGAUUAGAUGUUCAUUGUAUGGUGGUCAUCUUGGAACUCAGAAGGAAAAGGCAAGAUGAGCAGAAGUUUAAGGUCCUCCUUGGUUACACCAAGGCAAGUUCAAGGCCAGCAUUGGCUAUAUAACACCCUGCUUUAAAAGACAGUAACACAGGGGCUAGAGAAAUGGCGUGGCUAAGGGCAGCUCCUACUUCUCUGGAGGAUUCAGUUCCCAGCACCCUUGUCAGGUGGCCCACAACCACCUGUAACUCAGAUCCAGGGCAUCAAACGCCCUCUUCUAGUUUCCAUGGGUGCCUACAGACAUGAGCACAUGCCCUCACAUACAGAUCAUUCAAAAGUAGUGAAAAACAAGGGACUGGGCUGCUGACUUGGUUAGUAAAAUACUCGCCACACAAACACGAAAAUCUGAAUCCAGGUUUCCAGCAUCCCCAUAAAAGGCUGGGCAUGGUAGAGGCAUGUCCGUAAUCCUCGCACAGGGGAAGCACGAGGGCUCACUGGGGGAUCCCAGGGGCUCGAUAACCAGACGGCCCAGCUAGAUCAGCGAGCUCCAGGUUCAAUGAGUUGGUUUCUUGUUGUUGUUGUUAUUUUUAACAUCUCAAAAAAAUGAGGUGGAGAGCAAUAGAGAAAGACACCUGACAUUGAACUCUGGCCUCUACACACACACGCACACACACACACACACACGCACACACACACACACACACACACACACACAGACAGAGACAGAGACAGAGACACAAAGAGAGAGAGAGAGAGAGAGAGAGAGGAGAAAUAUAUAAACACACACGAACACAGAGAGAGAGAGAGCGAGAGAGAGAGACAGACAGACAGAGAGAGAGACACACACAGAGAGAGGAGAAAUAUAUAAACACACACGAACACACACAUGCACACAACAACAAAGUUCAUCUGUGGAGGCAGAGCAGAAAGCCCUGAGUCUCCAGUAACCCCAUAGAAUUGUUACAUAACCAGCGACGUUCCUAGGGAUUUCCGGUCUUCAGCUUCAGACAGUACGAUGAAUCCCCCGGAAUUGAGAUUCUGUGAUGUUCCUUCCUCACCCACACAGUGAGAUUUGCAGGAUUUAGCCAAGGUGAGAACCCCCUUCCCAGUAGACCUGGGAUGAAAUGACCUUGAGGCCAAAACUUUAAAAUAUCCUUAAGUACGUGCUUCCUAGGAUUAAGUAACACAUGGAGACGAAAGCCAGCCAGGUCCACCGCCCUGGUGCCCUGACAUCACCACUCCUAUUUUCUGAGAGAGGAAACUGCCCCAGGAAAGCAGUGGAAAGGAAUGGGUGACUUACCCUGGGCUGAAGCACAUACCAGGGACGUCAGUCAAAGAUUGCGUGACUACGCUAAGGGCCGAUUAGGAACAAGAUAUGUUUUACUCGGGCAAGAUAAAGGAUGCUCACGUAAGACUGAGGGAAAAUCCAGAUGUUGGGAUCCAGAGAUUAGUGCAGACUCUAGUCUGUGGGGACAAGAGUUUUUCCCAAUAAUCAGCCACAUACCAACAGGACGUUUCCAUAGGGGUACAGGGUUCCCCUCAUGGUUCACUAGGUAGGUGGUCUGUGACAGGCCACAGAGCUAAGUCACACGGUGCACUUGCAAAGCUAAUUCCUUUUCCAAUUCCUGUCUUCUCUUGUCUAUCAAACAGUCUGUGGACAUGCUUGUGCACCCUGCAGAAGAUCAAACUUGUUUCUUCUACGCCCAGCCCCUGGUGUCCUCUGUUGAAUAAACCAUUUUACCUGCUUUGCAUUUU